ensembl:lincRNA Ftx Ftx transcript, Xist regulator (non-protein coding)
GCCCUCCGCCCGCCGCGCCCGCCGCCUGNNNNNNNNNNNNNNNNNNNNNNNNNNNNNNNNNNNNNNNNNNNNNAUUUUAUUGGCUGCAGACACACGCAGCAUCUUCUUGCGCUCCUCCUUGAGGUGGAUGGGCAGCUAGCUGGAGAUGACACAGGAUGAUGCGCAUCUUUCGCACGCUGGCUCCAAGAUCUCCGCUGCCAGAUGCAGCAACAAAGCUUCUUUGUACAGACAGCCCUGGACACACUUCCAGCAGCAAUUCUUCUUGCAGGAACUGGUGCAAGAACAGGAUUUAUUCGUGGCACAGGAGCAGUUGGUGUCCACUGGGAGUGGAGGCAGAAGAGAGACCAGAGCGGUGACUUCAACAGAAGUGGAGUAAAUAAAGAUGAUCACAGAACUUGGAAGCUGACGAAAUUAAUUUUGGAAAAGAGCUGGCUUGGAGCAUGACAGAAGAAUUCGAUGGAAAGAGUGCUGGGAGCCCAACUCAAGACUGAUGUGUGCUUGGCAGGCAGUCUACCCCCGAUCUCAGUCCUCCAGCCUUUCGGCCUUUUUUCCUUUUUGGAGACAGAAUUGCAUCAUAUGGCAUCCUACACAGUCCUGCCUCAGUCUCUGCAGUGCUGGGAUUGUAGGCCUAUGCCACCUAGCCUUUCUACAAUACAAACAAAUAUGAAAAGAAGAGGGACUUCUUUGGAAAGGAGUACAGGGACUAUGGAAGAGAUGAAAAGAUAAUAUUGUCAGAAAUUAUGCCGCUUUUGAAGAGAUAAACUGAACUCUUUUGAUUCUGUGAGGUUAUUAAAGAAUAUUAAUUUUCAAAUCACGGUAAAAUCUUGAUUCAGCAACACAUGAGGAUAAUCAUUGUGUCCAUGGAAACCUUGGGAAGCAGUUGAAAGCCUGGUCCCUCUUGCCUGGAGCAUUAACACAACGUGGCUGCAAAGUUAGUCCUUUCCCGCUACCAUCUCCUGAAUACUGGGACUAACUACACGUAUGCACGAACCUGCCCAUCUUUGCCUCUGUUAACAGCUGCCACUGUCUCUUCACGACAUGAUGGCUGACCUAGGUUGGAAGGAACAGAGCCAGUUGGCCAUGGACUGAAACUUUUGGAACUCUGGCUGAGCUUUUUAAAGAUGGCUAUUCUGAAUUCUUCACAGAUGGCACAGUGUCAGAAUCAUGUGUGGCCUCCUGCUGCCUGAACCAUGCCGCUAAGACAGUUGCCCACUGUGCAGUUUCACACCAUCUGCAGAGAGCAACACUGCAGAGCCUUUGGGAGAGCCUUGCCAGUCGCUGAAAGCCUGGCUGACUGCCAAGCCUUGCACUGUAGACUGAAAAUUGCUCUCUUUGCUGAGCUCAGUACUAACACUUAGAUCUUCAUGGUCUCCUGGGAGACCAUGUCAGCUGCUGUUCAGUGAGAUAAAUUUGGAUCAGCUGAAGAUAUGUACUCUCUAUGCCUUCCUUGACUGUCAGCUAAACAGUGUGCACUCCUGGCUUAGUACAGCCUUGGCUGCUGAGAGCCCCAUUCCUCCCCUGUGCUCUUCAUUGUCCUCAUGAUCUGGCUUUCAUCAUCCAUUAUACUCCUAACACUGGGAGUGAAGUGUCAUUGAAGAAUGUUCAUCAGGCACUACCUCAAAGGGCUGGAGAUGAUUGGUGAAUGCUUUGAUUCUUCAUUCCUCCUAGGACACAUAUCAAGCCCCCAGAAUUUCUCUCUAUCCAGUUGCACCAGUGUGAGGAACUUGACGGUGUCAGGAAAGUGAAACUGCUUCUCUGCUCCAUAUAAAUGUCUGUGCAGAUGCAAAGCCAUGCAUUACAUGGUAGCUCACCUUUAAUCCUAGCACUCAGGAGACAGAGGCAGGAGGAUCUCUCCGAGCUCAAGGCCAGCCUGGUCUUCACAGUGAGUUCCAGGACAGCCAAGGCUACACAGGAAUCCUGUGUACAGGUCCUUGGUAUUGCACUCCUCUCUAUAAACACAACUUGCUUUUAGAAUGUGUGGUUGUUAAGUUGUUCUGUGAAGGAUGGAUAAAGGCUAGCUCACUACUAUACCCGUCAGCUUGCUCCUGUCACUUCUUCUCACCUUUGAGCACUUAGCAUCCCUCUCCGUGUUGUCUUUGCUGAAAUGCUUGCUAAGGCGAAGCUCCUCUGUAGCUGUCCUCUAGCCCCAGCCAUGAUUCUUUCAAGAUUUUUCUUUGGCCUUCUGUAAUUUGAAUAUGAUGAAUGUUUUUAUUUAC